rnacentral:SRP_RNA from 1 species
GCCGGGCAUGGCAGCGGGUGCCUGUAAUCCCAGCUACUUGGGAGGCUGAGGCAGGAGAAUCGCUUGAACCCGGGAGCUGAAGGUUGCAGUGAGCCAGGGUCAUGCCACUGCACUCCAGCCUGGGUGACACAGCAAGACUCCGUCUCAA